AUGGCCAUAUGACAUUCAAACACCAGUUCUCGUCUGUUCACAGAAGUUAAGCAACGUUGAAACUGGUCAUUACUUAGAUGGAUGACCGCUUGGGAAUAUCAGCUGCUGUAAG